CUUCUUGGCCUUCCUGUGACACCGGGUGCUGUAAAUGUCCUGGAAGGCUAUGAAGAAGACAAAUGACAUUGACUCCUGAGGUGUUGAACUGUUGCUCAUAGCAACCCUGGUUAUUAUCUAUGAACGUUGGAACAUCUUGAAUAUCGAUAAGGCCUCAAUGGUCACAUUGAGCACAGCUAGAAGAGGACUAGACACCCUUCCUAGACACCCUGCAGAGCCUGGUUCCUCUGCACCCAGCACAGCUAGAAGAGGACUAGGCACCCCUUAGAGCCUGGUUCCUCUGCACCCAGCACAGCUAGAAGAGGACUAGCCACCCCCCCAGAGCCUGGUUCCUCUGCACCCAGCACAGCUAGAAGAGAACUAGCCACCCCUCAGAGCCUGGUUCCUCUGCACCCAGCACAGCUAGAAGAGGACUUUUAUAAUAAUAAAAAUGGUAUUAUUGUCAACGUCUUGUCGAGCUCUCAAACCCAGGCCUUAUGGAUAAACCCACAAAACGACUACAUUAGCUUAGAGGAGCUGAAAGUGAGUGGUAUUGAAAGAAAAUGAUGCUCUCUCAGACCCAGACAAUCAUGUAGCUCCAAUUUACAAGAAUGGGUUUACAGGGCAGUGAAAGCAGUUUAUAUGAACUCUACACAGCAUUGGGAAUUCAAACAUACAAUGAUAUAUAUUUGACAUUCAAUACUGUUGUUACAAAAACAUGCACUAAAAGCAUGUUAAGAUCAAUAUAAUUACUUCUCAUUGUGUACAUUUCAAGGUUUCGCAAACAUCAUACAACAACAUCUAGUUGAUGUUUUACCGACUAAUACACUGCUGAGUUUCCUAUUGACUAAAGAACAAUCAUUCAGAAAAAACACAAAAGGUUGUAAUAUCUAUAUAUAUGUCAUACUGUAUUGAAAACAGACAUUCUGAAAGAGUAUGUUGAUGUGAUAAGACAAUUUUAUUCAAGUCUGAAUUUAGGAUAACUAUUUUACUUAAAUUGUAGUAUUUAUGUUGUCUUAUACCAUGCUAAUACGUUACCAAGCAAUGCAAGUAGAUUUGGAAUGAACCCCAAAACCGGUGUGUCUUUUUGGAUCAAGAUUUGAUCCAGAAUAGCAAAAGGCAUGAUCAGAUCCUCUUUCCUAUUCAGGCAUCAUAUAAUGCACAGCCACAUGCAAGUCCUCUGCCAAUAAAACAUUUAAAACCUUAA